UACAGAGGUCUCAAGCGUUUGUUCGGAUUCAUUGGGCGUAAAGGGUGCGUAGGUGGCGGGGUUAGUCAGGUGUGAAAUCUCGGAGCUCAACUCCGAAACUGCACUUGAUACUGCCUUGCUAGAGUACUGGAGAGGAGAUUGGAAUUUACGGUGUAGCAGUGAAAUGCGUAGAUAUCGUAAGGAAGACCAGUGGCGAAGGCGAAUCUCUGGACAGUUACUGACACUGAGGCACGAAGGCCAGGGGAGCAAACGGG
rnacentral:rRNA from 1 species